rfam:Camelus ferus unplaced genomic scaffold scaffold820, whole genome shotgun sequence.
GAGGGUAUAGCUCAGUGGUAGAGCACAUGCUUAGUCUGCAUGAGGUCCUGGGUUCAAUCCCCAGUACCUCCA